AUCCUACUGACGAGUCCCAAAUAAGACGAAACGCUCAUACCGGAU
rnacentral:hammerhead_ribozyme from 1 species